AAUGAUAAAACAUUCAAAAUUCUGAAAAUAUCUUUGAUACACUAAAAUUUUAAUACGCACCGAUUAUAAUUAAAGUAGGGUAUAAUUGUAAAAGAACAAUUAUGAAGAACUUUAAAAAAAUUAAAAAGAAAAGAAAAAAGUUUAACAGACCCCACUCCAGAGCAGUUGCUCUUCCUAUCAGUUUCUUCUGGCACGUUCUAUUCAAAAAAGAUGAAAGCAAAACUGAAACCAUCCAAAACCCACCAUGGCCCUCAAACUUGGAAACGCAUUUCCUCCCCUCCCAUGUUUCGCAGAGCAAGAAUCCUCAUCUACUCACGGCAUAAAAAGGGAGGAAGAUUGAAGGAAAAAGAGCUGAAGCAAUCAAUAUUGGAACCCCCAGUGUGCUCAUCAAUCUGUAUUUGUAAGAUGUUGCAGUGUAUGAGAGAGGCAAGAAAAUUAUGGUAUGAUGCUGUUAAAACCGAUCGACGUUUACUCAGAUUCUAAAUCAGACGGUCCAUCUCGCAUCACCAACCUUCAGUCUCAGACCUUUUCAACAGAACCGAAGUUUGAGAAAACUGUUGGAAUCAGUGGAGUGGGGAAUAAAUUUUAAAACUCAACGAUGUGUGGUCCAGUCAUUAGUUCAAGAACUCAAAGUCCAGAAUUGCUUCAAUGACUCCGGUUCCAUGCUUUCUGUUUAUUAAUCUUCAAUAUGCAGAGCAUCAAUUCUUUAAAUGAUGGAAUCGCCUCUCACCUCGCACUCUCUGACGCAUAAUGGUUCCAGAAGACGCAGAGGAAACUAUAUUUAAGGAAUUAAAAGCAAAAUGAGGAUCAGAGUUGGAGGGAGUUCAAGAAUAACAUGAAAGCAAAACAAAAGGGAAGCAUCAUGGUGAGUGAUAAGCACUGAUCAUGACUUCUUCGAGCAGUGAACCAAAGUCGCUCUUCUUCAUGGACAAGUCCAAAGGUACCUUAUUCAUACCUUUGUUUUUUUGUUUUUUGUUUUGAGUGACAUAUUUGUCUUUUUUCGCUUUCAGUAAUUGAAUUGCUUCUGUAUAACAAAUCCCAAUUUCAGGUCAGCUGCCGGAAUCUGGCAUUUUUUAAUGGGUUUUAUUUUUCGUUGCUAGAAUGCAUUUUAUUGUGGUUUUAGUGUUUAGGGUGAUAGAGUGGUGGAGAUGCAGAUGGAGGUGUGGGUAUUUUGGCCAUGUUAAAAGGAAAUUGCAAGUUUAUGGUUUGGUUUAAACAAUUGUGUGGCUGUGUGUUCGCUUUAGGUGAAGGUGUCGUGAUGCAAAAGAAACUAUGUUUCUAGCUUUAAAUUCUGUGUUUCUAUGUGCUAAUUGGGCGAUUUCUCAAUGUUUCUAUUAGGUUAUUUCAUAUGGAUGCUAGAAGGGACAUAAUUUUCUGUGGUGGCAAUUACACUAUCCAAUUUGCUGCAUGAGGCUACCAAAGAAGAUAGUAGCAGGAGGGCAUAAAAGUGCUGCCGGAGGAGGUUUAUGUACAAGCAGUAGCUAAAAGGAUUUUAAUUGUCAUGAAUUUUUUGUUUAUUCUUUUCCUUUUUCAAUGGUUGCAAUACUAGCUUCUUUUUUUUUUUUUUUGUUGGUCAACAUUGCAAUACUAGCUUCAAUUACUAUAUUUUGGUGUAACGAGUUUUGUUUUAAAUAAAGACUUAUUCAAUUACAUCUGUUCCAAAUUCGGUUCAAUGGUUAACAAUGAUAAUUGUUAUCAAUAAAUACAAAGAGGAA